AGUUCUCUUUCAGUGGGAGCUGCCCAUACUAGAUAUUCAGUUUGGUCUUCCUCUCUUAGGAAUAGAACGGCAUCACUGGGAAUUCCCCCAGAAGCACAAGAACUAGAUAUGAAGGAUAAAACUGUCCACUGAUCCAGGUUCCUGAUAAAAUUACUAUCUGAAGCCAACAGAAGGAAUCAGAUACACUUUCAAGGAUCUUUGCCAUCAUAUAAUUCUUCAAGACUGAUGCAAUAUAUUUUAAGAAGCAUAAUUCAAAGAUCAGAAGACAGAGACAUAAGUAGCAUUGUUUUAUCUCAGGUGAAAGAAGCAGCAUGGUCAAAUGCCUUUUGGUCUGAGGAAUCACGGAAAUUGAAUGGACUGAAAGAGAGCCAGCUAUGCUGUAGAACCGACAGCAAGGAAGAGUAUGAUGCAAAAGGAGACGGAAGGAUGGAAUAAUA